rnacentral:tRNA from 1 species
ACUAUUUUGGCAGAUUAUGCGUUAGAUUUAGGAUCUAUUUAUGUAAUGUAUUACAAAUAGUA